GAAGGCAGGAAAAGAUGUAGAAUAUUCCACAAUUUGUUGUUGUUGUUGUUGAAGAUGGCUGAUGUUUAAAAAAAUCUCUGACAGUGUAAACUUCGGUUACUUUUAGAUUUGGCAUUUUAGACCUUUAUUUCUCCUCAGUGCCCCCUUUGUCAGGGCCAUUGAUGGAGCCAGCCAUUGUGUGAAUGAGGACAGAAAAGAAACACAGUAUGCUCGGCACUCAAGCUGUUCACAGUAGACCCCUGGAAGGCAUCUCUUUAAUUGCCUAAUAAGAUCUAUGGUGAAACUAUGACUUGCCUGACCAGUCUUCUGUUUACGGAAAAGGUUAAAAAAUGAUCUAAGAACACUGUUUUGGAAAGGAACCAACUCUUACUUCAUCGGGAGUCAAAGCAAAAGGAAGAAUCCAGAAGUAUCAGUUGAAGUAUCUUUAAAAGUGCAGACACUGGAAGUUCCCUUUUGGCAUCAUGGAUUAAGGAUCCAGUGUUUCCACAGCUGUGGUGCAGGCAACAACUGUCGUGUGUGUUUGAUGUUUGAUCCCUGGCCUGGGAACUUCAACAUGCCACAGGUGAGGCCAAAAAAAAACAAAAAAAACCAA